rnacentral:rRNA from 1 species
CUGACCUCAAAUNCAGGUAGGA